ensembl:lncRNA
UGGUGAUUAUGGUCUUCAUUGCGCCUGUUUGCAAAUUAGCUAGCAAGUUAGGUAGCGUUGGUCAAAUCUUGUUGCAAAUGCAAACAAAAUAAAUUUACCUUCAGUUUAAAACUGGCUGUACUUCCAAUUUAAUUAGUAGCGAAAGCGAAUAUCACGCUUAUACAGGAUGCUUUCUGGCUAUCAAAAAUAAAGCUGAUGACUAUACCACCUGCUGUCCACAACCGGAAGGGUUUCGGCGCGCUAUUUCUCCAGAACAAACAUACUAUACAAGAGCAGCUCAUUACCAGUCAUGACCAGGAGGUGGCGAUAUUGACUGAGACAUUUUAGCGCUUACAGACUAAUUCCACCAGGCUGCAACUUUUGUUUAGUUACAUUAGAAAACCAGCUGAAAGUUUAUCCCGUUUACACCAGAGAAAGAUAAAUGAGCUGGAGUCAGAGAAACAACAAGUGGGAGAGAAGUCAUCUGCAGGCAUUGUUGAAGCAGCAUGAAGUGCAGCAGGUCCAUGUCCAGCUGGAAGAGGCUCAAGGACUGCUGAAGGUCAUGACGACAGAGGCAGAUGACCAGAUGAUGAGCGCAGAACUGGAAAAUGUCCUGCAUAUUGUCCCAAAUCACAGCUGCACUGUGGACACGCAACAGUAUUUGACUAACCAGAUCGAGCAGCUCAUAGGGGAGAAUCAGCAACUGAAAGUGGGGAAAUUUAGGGAAGAAUCUUUAUAGAACUUAGACUGUGACAACUAAUUCACAAUAUAGGAUACCUUAGCUAUUAGGUAGUUUCUGUUCAAAUUUGGGCAUUGUUGAUGCUGAAUGGCUGGAACAGGAAGAGCUAUGAAGAUAUAUUCCACAAAUAUGUCCUUUGAUCCAAGCUGAGUGUUUUAUAUUGCACUUCUUCUCGUAAGUGUUUCUUGCAUGUCAUCCGUACUCUAUACUGGUUGGUUUAACAGUCUGCAUUGAGACAGGCAGAGCUCAGACUCAGCAUAAUGGAAGGAGAGAAGGCCUGUCAGCAUGCUGUGCUCUCAGAAAAGAUCUGCAAUGUUGAUCAGCUUAGUUUAGAGAAACAGCAGAUGACCGCUGAGCUGGGAGUGCGGUGUAUGCAGCUUACCCAGCUGAAAGGUACAAACACAGAUUCAUCGAAAUCCCAAACCGCAUACCUGAUAUAAACUGACUUUAAAGUGUGUGUUGAACAAGUACAGUGUCCCUAAAAACUUGAACAUGUAAUUCUUGUGGUUACACUUUAUUUUAUAGUGUCCUUGUUACAGUGUAAUUAUACAUUUAAGUACUGAACAUCUAAGCACUUAUACAUCUAAGUACUUAAUUAGCUACAUGUACUUACUAUAUGGUUAGGGUUUGGCUUAGGGAAACUUGCAUGUAAUUAUGUAUAAUUAAUUGUUAUAAUAGUAAGUACAUGUAACAAGGACUCCUUAAAAUAAAGUGUUACCAUUCUUGCUUUUAUUGGAUUGUUAUUGUAUACAUUAUUUGGCAGAAACAAAAACUCAAAGCAAAUGUCAUCUGGGUCAGUGAUAUAUAACAUCCAUAGUAUCCACAAUUA